CUAAAAAGCAUACACCCCAGGGCACUUCUGUGCAUUGUGUCCCUUUCAAGAAGCACUACCCACACAAGCUGGCUAUUAUACUUCUUCAUUGUUGGCCAUAUGCCAUUGGCAGUUGGCUUUGUUUGCUUUUGCAAGCAACAAACCCAUGUAGGCUGAUGGACAAAGGAUCAGGUGGCCUUCAUUUUGUGCUCACAGACCAAACAUCACAUGGCCCAUGUGCUGUUUGGGUAUGGUGGCAUAUUUUCCAAAUGUU